CUGGAUGCUUCCUGCCCUCGAAAAUCAGACUCCAAGUUCUUCAACUUUGGGACUCGGACCUUUGAACACAGACUGAAGCCUGCACUGUCGGCUUCCCUAGUUUUGAGGCUUUGGGACUUGGACUGACUUCCUGGAUCCUCAGCUUGCAGAUGACUUAUUGUGGGACCUCACCUUGUGAUCAUGUGAAAAGCUUGGUGAAGGAUUUUAAGGACUUCCCAUUGGCUGAAGGCUGGCAAAUGGAGUUUGCCAUCCUCUGACUACAGCCAUUCUGAGGACUGGAAAGGAUACCCUGAGAAGUGGCCUAUUUUAUUUCUGCUGGAAGCAUGGCAGUCAGCCCUGCAGGAACCAGGAUAAGAGAAAAGGCCAUCAUACCUGCCAGUCUUCCUGAAAUACAGAAAUGACUUCACGGCUGCUAUAUUGGAUUAAGGAGAGGAAGACGUCCUAUUCCUGAAGGAGCUGUCAUGGAAAGAAAAGUAAAGAAGGAAUGAAGGUGAUGUUAUUUUACAUGGGGGAGCCUCAGGAAGAGGCAUGUAGCAUGAGGUACUCUAUAAUUGUUUCUUCAAGUACUACAUUAUUCCUCUUGGGAAAUUGAUGGGAGAUGAUUAUAUUCUUGCAGUUUUUUUUUUCCCUCUCACCAUGUUUCUAGGAUGGUGAUCAGUCCUCUGUCAAAUCUCUACUGCACUCAGAUAUUUUGGAAGGCUUUCAGACAUAAGAAAGGCUGAUUGCUAUUUUCUAUGUCAUUAGAACUUACCACCUUUUCACCUUUUCAUGGUUGCAUCUUUUUCUCAGUCUCUCUGUUGUGGCAGCCAUGAAUGAGACUCUGUCAGGUCUCCAUGGCAGGGAGCUGAUUGACAGAAGGCCCACGUCCGUGCAUUUCACAUUCAUCACCUCCUUUGCACAGAAAGCUUCUUUCCCACAGGCUCCCAGGAAGGGCGUGAAAGCAAGCCUAGUUCUCUGAGGCUCUCUUUAACUCUAAAGGGUGACUGGUUGGAGGACUCCCCCUCAGCCUUGCAAAAACUCUUAGAACUGCAUUGGUACCUAAAACUUCUUUCUCUUUCUUUUUCACAGGAAUCAGCUCUGCAUAGUGGUCUGUGGGUUCUCCCAUACUGCCUUCAUGUCUGCCCCACAUUCCCUCACAGGUGUCCUCCCUGAUAAAUUAUCUUGUAUGUCUAAUCCCAUCUUGGGUGCAUCUCAGUUGGUAAAAACUAACAUAUCAGGCUUGAUUCUUUGCACUUAGCUUUUUUUCCUUCUCUCCCACAAGUAGUCAGUAACCAUGUCCUAGUGUUUUAUGUGUUACCUCUUUUUCCAUAUAUAUGGAAAAAGGUAGGUACUGUUGAGGGGCAUUUCCUAUGUGCCAGGCCCUGUGCUAAAUACUUUACCUGUAUCUCAUUUAAUCCACACAAUAACCCUGUCAGGUAGAAAUUAUUUCCACUUUGCUGAUGAAAAGACAGAAGCUUAUCAUGGUGUAAAAACUUUCCUGGUGUCAUAUGGCUAGUGACAGGUGGAUCUGAAAUUUGAUUCUAGGACUAUUUGACCUCAAGGCUAAUGAUGAUGGUAGUAAUAUAGCAGCUGACAUUGGCUCCUCUGUGUGGCAUCUUGUUUCAUUGAUUGCAUUAAACAUUUAAAAGAAUGGUAUGAAGAAAGCACUCUCAUUGCAAUUUUCAGGUGAGGAAUCAGAGGUUCAGAGAAGUUGAGUCUUGUGCAAGAAAUUUAUAACUGUAAACUCUUACAUUAAAAAAGAAGAAAGAUCUCAGGUCAACAACCUACUUUAAUACUUCAGGAUAUGAAAGAAGAACAAACUAAACCCAAGCACAGUGAAUGAGGGAAAUAAUA
ensembl:lncRNA PSG11-AS1 PSG11, PSG2 and PSG5 antisense RNA 1